rnacentral:rRNA from 1 species
UACGAAGGGAGCUAGCGUUGUUCGGAAUCACUGGGCGUAAAGCGCACGUAGGCGGAUGUGUCAGUCAGUGGUGAAAUCCCGGAGCUCAACUUCGGAACUGCCCUUGAUACAGCACGUCUUGAGUCCGGAAGAGGUGGGUGGAAUUCCUAGUGUAGAGGUGAAAUUCGUAGAUAUUAGGAAGAACACCGGUGGCGAAGGCGGCCCACUGGUCCGGUACUGACGCUGAGGUGCGAAAGCGUGGGGAGCAAACAGG